AUCGCUUCUCGGCCUUUUGGCUAAGAUCAAGUGUAGUAUCAAUGCUGAUUUAUGAUGAUCCACACCUAUAUCGUGUUAUAAACAAGU
rnacentral:snRNA from 1 species